rnacentral:rRNA from 1 species
GUUUCCUACGGGGGGCAGCAGUGAGGAGUAUUGGUCAAUGGGCGCGAGCCUGAACCAGCCAAGUAGCGUGAAGGAUGACUGCCCUACGGGUUGUAAACUUCUUUUAUAAAGGAAUAAAGUGAGGCACGUGUGCCUUUUUGUAUGUACUUUAUGAAUAAGGAUCGGCUAACUCCGUGCCAGCAGCCGCGGUAAUACGGAGGAUCAGCGCGUUAUCCGGAUUUAUUGGGUUUAAAGGGAGCGUAGAUGGGUUGUUCAGUCAGUUGUGAAAGUUUGCGGCUUAACCGUAAAAUUGAAAUU